rnacentral:rRNA from 1 species
CGGGUCUUGUACACACUGCCCGUCAAGCCAUGGAAGUUGUUUUUACCCGAAUAUGGUGAGCUAACCGCAAGGAGGUAGCCAUACACGGUAGGAAUAGUAACUGGGGUU